rnacentral:rRNA from 1 species
AAAGCGUGGGUAGCGAACAGGAUUAGAUACCCUGGUAGUCCACGCCGUAAACGGUGAUCGCUAGGUGUGGGUAUCCUUCCACGAGAUCCGUGGCGCAGCUAACGCAUUAAGCGAUCCGCCUGGGGAGUACGGCCGCAAGGUUAAAACUCAAAUGAAUUGACGGGGGCCCGCACAAGCGGCGGAGCAUGUGGAUUAAUUCGAUGCAACGCGAAGAACCUUACCAGGGUUUGACAUACACCGGAACGCCCCAGAGAUGGAUUUUCCCUUGUGGUCACUCUACAGGUGGUGCAUGGCUGUCGUCAGCUCGUGUCGUGAGAUGUUGGGUUAAGUCCCGUAACGAGCGCAACCCUUGUCCUGUGUUGCCAGCACGUAAUGGUGGGCACUCGCAGGAGACUGCCGGUGUCAACUCGGAGGAAGGUGGGGACGACGUCAAGUCAUCAUGCCCCUUAUGUCCAGGGCUUCACACAUGCUACAAUGGCCGGUACAGAGGGCUGCGAAUCCGCGAGGUGGAGCGAAUCCCUUAAAGCCGGUCUCAGUUCGGAUCGCAGUCUGCAACUCGACUGCGUGAAGUCGGAGUCGCUAGUAAUCGCAGAUCAGCAACGCUGCGGUGAAUACGUUCCCGGGCCUUGUACACACCGCCCGUCAC